CAGUCGCCACGGGAAUACGAAGGGUGCAAGCGUUAAUCGGAAUUACUGGGCGUAAAGCGUGCGUAGGCGGUUUGUUAAGUCUGUUGUGAAAGCCCUGGGCUCAACCUGGGAAUUGCAGUGGAUACUGGAUCGCUAGAGUGUGGUAGAGGAUAGUGGAAUUUCCGGUGUAGCAGUGAAAUGCGUAGAGAUCGGAAGGAACAUCUGUGGCGAAGGCGACUAUCUGGGCCAACACUGACACUGAGGCACGAAAGCGUGGGGAGCAAACAGGAUUAGAUACCCGCGUAGUCCCUGUCUCUUAUAC
rnacentral:rRNA from 1 species